rnacentral:rRNA from 1 species
UACGUAGGGGGCAAGCGUUGUCCGGAUUUAUUGGGCGUAAAGAGCGUGUAGGCGGUUUGGUAGGUCCGCUGUGAAAACUCGAGCUCAACCUCGAGACGCCGGUGGAAACCAUCAGACUAGAGUCCGGAAGAGGGAGAGUGGAACUUCCGUGGUGUAGCGGUGAAAUGCGCAGAUAUCAGGAAGAACACCCGUGGCUAAGGCGGCUCUCUAGUACGGUACUGACGCUGAGACGCGAAAGCGUGGGGAGCGAACAGG